UAAUAGCUCACUGGUCGAGUCGGCCUGCGCGGAAGAUGUAACGGGGCUAAACCAUGCACCGAAGCUGCGGCAGCGACGCUUAUGCGUUGUUGGGUAGGGGAGCGUUCUGUAAGCCUGUGAAGGUGGCCUGUGAGGGUUGCUGGAGGUAUCAGAAGUGCGAAUGCUGACAUAAGUAACGAUAAAGCGGGUGAAAAGCCCGCUCGCCGGAAGACCAAGGGUUCCUGUCCAACGUUAAUCGGGGCAGGGUGAGUCGACCCCUAAGGCGAGGCCGAAAGGCGUAGUCGAUGGGAAACAGGUUAAUAUUCCUGUACUUGGUGUUACUGCGAAGGGGGGACGGAGAAGGCUAUGUUGGCCGGGCGACGGUUGUCCCGGUUUAAGCGUGUAGGCUGGUUUUCCAGGCAAAUCCGGAAAACCAAGGCUGAGGCGUGAUGACGAGGCACUACGGUGCUGAAGCGACAAAUGCCCUGCUUCCAGGAAAAGCCUCUAAGCAUCAGGUAACAUCAAAUCGUACCCCAAACCGACACAGGUGGUCAGGUAGAGAAUACCAAGGCGCUUGAGAGAACUCGGGUGAAGGAACUAGGCAAAAUGGUGCCGUAACUUCGGGAGAAGGCACGCUGAUAUGUAGGUGAAGCGACUUGCUCGUGGAGCUGAAAUCAGUCGAAGAUACCAGCUGGCUGCAACUGUUUAUUAAAAACACAGCACUGUGCAAACACGAAAGUGGACGUAUACGGUGUGACGCCUGCCCGGUGCCGGAAGGUUAAUUGAUGGGGUUAGCGGUAACGCGAAGCUCUUGAUCGAAGCCCCGGUAAACGGCGGCCGUAACUAUAACGGUCCUAAGGUAGCGAAAUUCCUUGUCGGGUAAGUUCCGACCUGCACGAAUGGCGUAAUGAUGGCCAGGCUGUCUCCACCCGAGACUCAGUGAAAUUGAACUCGCUGUGAAGAUGCAGUGUACCCGCGGCAAGACGGAAAGACCCCGUGAACCUUUACUAUAGCUUGACACUGAACAUUGAGCCUUGAUGUGUAGGAUAGGUGGGAGGCUUUGAAGUGUGGACGCCAGUCUGCAUGGAGCCGACCUUGAAAUACCACCCUUUAAUGUUUGAUGUUCUAACGUGGGCCCCUAAUCGGGGUUGCGGACAGUGUCUGGUGGGUAGUUUGACUGGGGCGGUCUCCUCCUAAAGAGUAACGGAGGAGCACGAAGGUU
rnacentral:rRNA from 1 species